rnacentral:rRNA from 1 species
AGAGUUUGAUCAUGGCUCAGGACGAACGCUGGCGGCGUGCCUAAUACAUGCAAGUCGAGCGGACCGAAGGGAGCUUGCUCCUUUAGGUUAGCGGCGGACGGGUGAGUAACACGUGGGCAACCUGCCCUGCAGACUGGGAUAACUUCGGGAAACCGGAGCUAAUACCGGAUAACACCGAAAACCGCAUGGUUUUCGGUUGAAAGGCGGCUUUUAGCUGUCACUGCAGGAUGGGCCCGCGGCGCAUUAGCUAGUUGGUGAGGUAACGGCUCACCAAGGCGACGAUGCGUAGCCGACCUGAGAGGGUGACCGGCCACACUGGGACUGAGACACGGCCCAGACUCCUACGGGAGGCAGCAGUAGGGAAUCUUCCGCAAUGGACGAAAGUCUGACGGAGCAACGCCGCGUGAGCGAAGAAGGUCUUCGGAUCGUAAAGCUCUGUUGUCAGGGAAGAACAAGUACCGUU